AUAAGCUGAGGAGGGGUCCCACAUGCUUCCAGGGGUUCAUCUUCCCUCUGGGACAACCUGGCAGGAAAAAAGAGGGCCCUGGAGUCUCCAUUCAGGCUGGGAUUCUCUCAGGCAGAGCAGGCUCCAAGUUCCCUGACUCUGUCAUGUGCUCAGAGACAGCUGCCAGCUUGUCCAUUUCUGGCUUCUCUUCCUUAUGAGCCAGAAACCUUCCCACUGGUUUUUGGCUCUUCUAACUUACACACCAACACCUGGGUCACAGAUAUGGGUAGAUGCUGAGAACCACCUGACCAGCCCUAUGUAGGGCCUAUCUUAAAGCCAGCAUGCUGUACCGGGGAGCUUAACCCAGGUGGAUCCGACUCUGUUACCUCAGUCUCUAGCCCUUUACCACAUGGGGGAGGGGGUCUUUGAGCCCUCCCACUGCUCUAGGGAAUGGUUGAUGUUUCUUUCACUCAUGGUGGACAGUCUGUGGGCUAUUUUUGUCUCUCCCCACUCUGGCCAGCACUGUCCUGGAAAACAGACCAUUUCUUUUUAAGAAACCUAGGAGGAAAUUUUAUCUCAUAGAGUAGUUCUGGGGCUCCACCCCUGUCCCCGCAAGGGCCAGUAGAGCCUCCUCCUAGUAUUUGGGAUUCAGGCAAAUUGGAGGUACUGCUCAAAAACAAAGAGCACCAGUUCUACCUCUUCACACCUCUAAGCCUCCUCUCUUCCUACACUAAGCUGCCUCAUAUUGGCAAGAAGGCCCACGGGGUGGGACUGGAGUAUUGAUAGAGCUCUGGGUCUGUCUUGGAGUUGCUUCCUGACCUAGGUCCAUGGAGCAGGUGCUUCUCAACAUGCUGCUCUUUUUUAAGGGUUAGGAACUAACAAGUGAACACACCUGGGAAGUGGCCCAGACAGACGCUGCAUAGAGGACUUGCCUUCAUCUUUUUAUUCAACCUUCCACGCAUUUGUCUCCUGCCACUCUGCCCAUCCACUCAAGGGCCCAUAGACCCUUUGACCAUGCAAAAUAUAGAGCUUGAUGGUUCAAGCCAAAAAGGUCGUCCUAUUAACACAAGGUCCCUUCACAACCCUGCUGAGCCAUCUUAGAGCAUGUGUAUCAUGUGGCCUUAGGCCUGACGCAGAGCCUUAGCAGUGACACAGAACAGAAAGGCCAAGAGCAAGGAUUCCCGCUUGCUUUCCUGAGUAAAUCCUGAGCUCCCUCCCUCCACCUCUGUGAUCUACACUUCAGGGUUAGUCCAAGUGUCCAGUUAGGGUCAGAAGGACAGAAUAGACUCUGUUGAUACUGGACCAGGCCCUGCAGUCAGCCUCAGCCUUGACAUGGCCACCCUCUCUGCCUGAGACCUCCAGUUUCCUGUGUCCUCCCCAGGUCACCCUGAGGGUUGUGAUACUAACCAUAGCAUCUUUUGAAAUCUUAGGAAAUUUGCUCAUUGUGAUCUACCUUAAUUCUCCAUAACUCCACCCAAGUUUCCAGAGGCCCUGCCUGUGGUCAGCUAUCUAGACUUCUCAGCCCAUCCUAUCAGCUUCUGAUGUCCACAUGCUUUGCAGUUUUGUUCCACUCAUCCACAGGAUCACAGGUGUCCCAAGCUGCUCUCCCCAACCCCCUGCUGGGAUCAUUUGCAUCGGGAUGCCAGUACCACAGAAAGAGAGGAAAUCUGAGGAUGGAGUUCUGGGCACCCUGGGUCUGGCAGCUGAGAGGUCUCAGUUCAGACUUCUUGCAGGUUCUAAUGGGGGCAAAGGAGGUCUAUGUGGAGAGUCCUGGUGGUUGGUAGGCAACUUGAUGGUUUAUAUCAAUGGUAGGAACUGAGGCCGAUUCAUGAUCUAUUGCACUGUAAAGGAUCCUCGCAUUUGGUUGGGAAGCAGAUGAUGGCUUAGCAGGAAGGACAGAAGAAGUUAUGGGAUCUGGAGAGCUGAAGGAAGAGAGCCUUCUCCUGGCCUCCUUGGGCACCUGCACAUACAUGGUACACAUACAAACAAGCAAGCACAUAUACAUGAAAUAAAAAUAAAUACAUUUUUAAGGGA